AUUCAACUUUAGAUUUAUCACAGGGACUUCCAACUACUCUAUUCGGAGCAGAACAUCUGAGGACAUUCAUCAAAAUGGAUCAAACAAAAAGCUCGAGGAGUCUAGCUCAAAUGGGUGAAAAAACUCUUUGCGAACUCAUUUCUAGUUUCAAGUUCUUGCGUGUCUUGGAUUGUCAUGAUAGUGGUAUUGAGAAGUUGCCAAGUUCUAUUUGUGAGUUGAAUCACUUGACAUUUCUAGAUCUCUCUGAAAAUAGAGAAAUCAUAAGGCUUCCUGAUUCUAUGACAAGAUUGCAAAAUUUGCAAGUACUUAAACUCAAUACGUGUUGCAAGCUAAUAGAGUUGCCAAGGGAUAUAAGAAAAUUAGUCGACCUCAGGCAAUUGGAGAUUAGCAAUUGUAAUGCCCUAUCUCAUAUGCCACAUGGGUUGGGCCAGUUGACUCUUUUGCGCACUCUAAUGGAUUUCUUUUUGCCUGGGGAUGUUUCUUUUCCAGAGAAUUGUGGUGGGUUAGGGGAGUUGAACAGGUUAAGCAAUUUGAGAGGAAGCCUCAGAAUUGAAGUUAAGGGAGAAAUAGAAGAUGCGGUAGCAGAGUCAAAUGCUGCAAACUUGAAAAAGAAAGAUUCCUUAGUUUGACUAGUAUUUGUGUUUGCUGGAAAAGAAAGUGAUGAAGUUCUACUCAAAGACCUGCAACCAAGCUUAAAUCUUCAAAGCUUAGAAAUAAGAGGUUAUGGGGGUGCAAGGUUUCCAAGCUGGAUGUCUUGCAUGCCUAAGUUAGUCCAGCUAAGGUUUUUUCAUUGUGGAAGAUGCAAAAGUCUCCCACCACUAGGCGAGCUUACCAGCCUCAAGCACUUGGAAAUUGGCGAGCUACCUAUAGUGGAGUACACAGAAGGUGAUCUUCAUACCCUUUCAUCACUUCCUAAUCUCUCUGCACUAAGGAUAUGGGAGUGUCCUAAUCUGAAAUGGAUUCCACCACUUCUACAACUCAAGGAGUUGAAACUUCCUAGUUUCACUUUGGAGCCAUUGCAGACCUCAGUUGCCACUGUUGAACAUAUAAUCGGUAUUGAUGAUCGAGUGAAGGAUGUAAUCAAGCUAAUGGAAAUAGAAAAUAAUGAUGUUGGAGUGCGCAUUGUUGGAAUCCAUGGAACUAAUGGAAUCGGCAAGACAACUACUGCGAAGGCCGUAUACAACCGACUCUCCUCUUAUUUUAAUAGUUGUAGCUUUCUCACAGAGAUUGGAGAAACAACAAAAAAUGUUGGUGGUAUUCAGUUUGUGCAAACUAAGUUGAUAUAUGACAUUCUUGAGCGAGAUGGGGAUGUUCUUCUUUCAAAAGAGGUAUCAAGUUUUUUGUGGAUGUAACUCGCAAUAGAAAAGUUCUUAUUGUCCUAGAUGAUGUGGAAGGACAGUCUCAUCUAGAUGAUCUUGUAAGAGACCCGCUUAACUGGUUUGGUUCUGGAAGUCGGAUAAUUGUUACUUCAGAAAAUAGUGGAAUUCUCCACACAUAUGUUUCUCAAGGCCUGGCCCGUAUUUAUGAAUUGAAUUAUAUGGAUAGCAAUCGAGUUCUUGAACUUUUCCACAAUCAUGCUUUAGGAUCACACGGUUCAAUACCUGGCUAUCCUAAAUUUGGAAGCGGAUUGUCAAAGCUAUGGGACGUGUUCCAUUUGUUAUUGAAGUUAUUGGUUCACUUCUGCGUGGUAAAACAAUAGAAGAUUGGAAGAAGAUAGAGGACUUGAUAAAACCAUAGGAGGAGAACUCUCAAGAGAUUUUGAAGGAUUGUGGGGAGAUUUUGAAAAUCUGUUAUAAAGCAUUAGAUGAAAAGCAGAAACAAAUAUUUUGGGACAUAGUAUGGUUUGCCAAUGGCAUUGAUAGCCGAAUUGCAUCAUACAUGUGGCCUGAUUAAGAUCUUUUGCCUUCUCACCUUGUUUUGAUGCCCCUAGCGAAAAUUGGAGGAGACAACCUGCUGUGGAUGCAUGAACUGUUGAAGCGUCUCAGCAGAACUAUAGAUCAAGAAGAGCAUAAAUAUCCUGGAAGGCGCAGUAGACUAUACAUGCAUGAUACAGACCUGAAAGUAAUCAACAGGAAAGAGGAAAUGGAAGAGGUCGAAGCCCUCUGCUUUGACUUCAAGAAUUGUUGUCCCCAUUCAUUUGCGGAAACAAAUUUCAAAACAAUGCCUAAAUAAGGUUCUUGAAAUUGGAUCAUGCAAGUAUGACUGGAAAUUUCGCAAAUGUAUUUCCAAAGUUAAGGUGGCUUCGUUGGCAAGGGUGCCCAAGGGAUUUCGAAGCAACAGAAUUUAAUCUGACCGAAUUGGUCAUUCUUGAUCUUUCAUGGAGCAAAGUCACCGAAGACUGGGGAGGUUGGAGGAAAAUCAAGAUGGAACAGUUGAAAGUCUUAAAUCUCACCGGUUGCACCGACUUACUGAUAAGUCCUACAUUUUGAAGAUUCCCAAAUUUGGAGAUACUUAUUCUAGAGCGAUGCUCUUGAUUGGUCCAUUUAGAUCCUUCGGUCGGGGGUCUCAAAAAAUUGCUUUGCCUGAAUUUGAAGUCCUGUACUGAACUUAACAUGUUGCCUGCUGAACUGGGUCGCUUGGAAGCUUUGAAAGAGCUCCUUAUUGAUGAGACUUCUGUGCAAGAAAUUCCCUUGGAAGGUGAUUCAAAGAAACUCGAAACUCUUUGUGCCUCCAAUUGCUUGCCAUUGAGUCUCCUGCCCCAUUCAUUUGAACACCUGACAGCACUUUCAACUCAGUAGAUGAUUCGAAGAUUACCAAACUCUCUGAUGGAAUUGGAGAGUUGGUUAAACUCCGACACUUGUCAUUGAGGAAUUGUCGUUGGAUACGAGAACUUCCAGAGUCCCUUGGCCAAUUAGGAAGCUCUUUAGAGGCGCUGGAUAUGUCGGGAACUGGCGUUUCAAAAUUGCCAAACUCCUUUCGAAAUUUGCGGAGUUUGAGAGUGUUAAAGAUGGACUAUUGCUUCAUAAAAGAAUUUCCUAGUUUUAUUGGGCGGCUACAUAGCCUCGAAGAAAUACAUGCCUCCUCGUGUAGGAGUUUAAAAGGGGAGAUUCCUAGAGACAUUGGGAAUCUAAUUCAUCUGAGAAUUAUGAGGCGGCAAUAUUCUGGUAUUUGCAGCCUGCCUUUUGAAAUCAAGCAUCUUUCCAAGCUGGAGACUCUUGAUCUACUUCACUGCGACAUGCUUCAUGAGUUGCCAGAGCUUCCCUCUGGUUUGGUUAAUGUGCGUUUGAGUCCAAAACUGAAGGGAAAGAUGUCUAAUCUUUAGAAUAUUUCUAUGUUUCGAAGAGUUGGUGCUGGGUGUUUAAGAUCACGUCCAGUACACAUUAGUGGGACAUUGCUUCAUCAUUGUGUAACUUGGAUGACAAGGUUAUUGAAACCAGUCUCUGUUCUAUUGGCCUUGGCUAUGCCCAAUAAGGCGUUUUAUUCUCAAUUUAGAUAUAGUUUUUGUUUCCGC